UCCUGGGUGGCUCAGAUGGUAAAGCAUCUGCCUUGAAUGUGGGAGACCCAGGUUCAAUCCCUGGGUCAGGAA
rnacentral:tRNA from 1 species